rnacentral:rRNA from 1 species
UGGGGAAUCUUGCGCAAUGCGCGAAGGCGUGACGCAGCAACGCCGCGUGGGGGAAGAAGGCCUUCGGGUUGUAAACCCCUUUCAGGAGGGACGAAGCCUGGACCGUUAAUAGCGGUUCCAGGUGACGGUACCUGCAGAAGAAGCGCCGGCUAACUACGUGCCAGCAGCCGCGGUAAUACGUAGGGCGCAAGCGUUGUCCGGAAUUAUUGGGCGUAAAGAGCUCGUAGGCGGUUUGUCGCGUCUGCCGUGAAAGUCCGGGGCUCAACUCCGGAUCUGCGGUGGGUACGGGCAGACUAGAGUGAUGUAGGGGAGACUGGAAUUCCUGGUGUAGCGGUGAAAUGCGCAGAUAUCAGGAGGAACACCGAUGGCGAAGGCAGGUCUCUGGGCAUUAACUGACGCUGAGGAGCGAAAGCAUGGGGAGCAAACAGGAUUAGAUACC